UACGGGGGGAGCAAGCGUUGUUCGGAUUUACUGGGCGUAAAGGGCGCGUAGGCGGUCAGCACAAGUCAGUUGUGAAAUCUCCGGGCUUAACUCGGAAAGGUCAACUGAUACUGUGCGACUAGAGUGCGGAAGGGGCAACUGGAAUUCUUGGUGUAGCGGUGAAAUGCGUAGAUAUCAAGAGGAACACCGAUGGCGAAGGCAGCCCCCUGGGCUAACACUGACGCUGAGGCACGAAAGCGUGGGGAGCAAACAGG
rnacentral:rRNA from 1 species